rnacentral:rRNA from 1 species
CCUACGGGUGGCAGCAGUGGGGAAUAUUGCACAAUGGGGGAAACCCUGAUGCAGCAACGCCGCGUGAAGGAAGACGGUUUUCGGAUUGUAAACUGCUGUUCGUAGUGAAGAAGAAUGAAGGGAGCGAAGGAGCAAGCCACGGCUAACUACGUGCCAGCAGCCGCGGUAAUAAGGAGGGGGCAAGCGUUGUCCGGAAUUACUGGGUGUAAAGGGAGCGCAGGCGGGAAGCCAAGUCAGCGGUGCAAACUACGGGCUUAACUUGUUGACUGCAGUUGAAACUGGUUUUCUUGAGUGAAGUAGUGUUUGCCGGACUUCCGUGUGUCGCGCUGCACUGCGUAGUUCUUCGGA